GCGCCGAUGGUUUAGUGGUAAAAUUCUCCGUUGCCAUCCAGCAGCCUCGGGGAGCCGGGGGUUCGAUUCCCCCUCGGCGCA
rnacentral:tRNA from 1 species